AUGUACAUUCCUACAACAUUAAUUCCUUGGACCCCUUCAUAACUCCACAGUUAGGUGUUCUUGGGCUAGAGUACUACUCGGAUGGGUGACUUCCCGGGAAGUCCUAGUGUUUUACAUG
rnacentral:rRNA from 1 species